rnacentral:lncRNA from 1 species
CUCUAAUGGAAUUCUUCCUCUCUAUCAUUAUUUUGCAUGCAUAUUAUUCAGAAUAAGCACCUAUAUAUAAUUUCCCUAUGAUACAGACGGUACCUUGGAGAGAAGAGAGAAGGCGGUACCUUGGAGAGAAGAGAGAAGGGGAAUUUCCCUAUGAUACAGACGGUACCUUGGAGAGAAGAGAGAAGGGGAAAAAAAAAAAAAGAGGCUAGGACUAAAUUGUUUCGCUUCCAACAGUGCCUUGAAACUGCAACUAAACUUUGUUCCCAAGCUCUACUCCUUCUUCUUCUGACGAGUCACUGCCUUUAUUAUGAACCUGAAUGGGCUUAAAAGUAUACAUCUUAGCGCAAAAUAUAUAGUAAAUAAGAUUAGCCACUUGCAACAACGUGAUCAACCAGUAGAAAUACUCCAACUUUCCCUUGUUCAAAUUAUUAUCCGGCAGCCAAUUUGAUCCAUUAG